rnacentral:lncRNA from 10 species
CCGGGGCUGGGAGGAGGGGGCACAGGAGCGCCGGCUGUGGGGAUGGUGUUUCUCCCGCCGGGGGUGGCUGGCUCACCCUGGCACUGCACCGCAGUGGGGGUGGACCGGAUGCCGCUGAACUGCCUGGACUUUCAAGAGCUCUGCUCUGAGGCCUGACCGUCCCUGGCCGCCAAGUGUCUGCUGACUGAGAGCUCCAGCUCCGGAGAGGUGCCCAGUACCUGGUGAGCAGAGGGACCUGAAGGAGCAGGUGCCUCUUCCUCAGACAUCUGCAGUCACUUCACAGUGAAUGAGGCUCCAGCCGGGUGCCCUGAGAAGUGGCCAACACCCUACCCAAGAGGAGACCGCACAGCCACGGCCAACGUGGAGCUCUAACUCAGGGCUCCAGCCUCCAGCCCAGUCCUUUUCCUUGAGUAGGGACGACCCCCACAGCGGCCUCUCUGCAUUGCUUAGGUGGGGAGCACAUGUGGUGAAGAUGGGCAGCCUGCAGGUGCCUGCUACACGUGGGGGCCACGGCCGACGGAAAGCUCAGUCAUGAGUGAAAACAGAGGAAAUGUUUCUGAAAAUAUAACAAGUCAGUGG